rnacentral:snoRNA from 1 species
AUGACGGCAGGUGUGUGGCGAAGCGGUGAGCGCUGGUGACAAGGCUGA